rnacentral:rRNA from 1 species
UACGUAGGGCGCAAGCGUUGUCCGGAAUUAUUGGGCGUAAAGAGCUCGUAGGCGGCUUGUUGCGUCGGCUGUGAAAACCUGAGGCUCAACCUCGGGCGUGCGGUGGAUACUGCCGGGCUAGAGGACGGUAGAGGCGAGUGGAAUUCCCGGUGUAGCGGUGAAAUGCGCAGAUAUCGGGAGGAACACCAGUAGCGAAGGCGG